rnacentral:lncRNA from 1 species
AAACUCUGAUGACUCAAACUCUGAUGUUCCCUCAGACUCUGAAGAAAGUGAUGAUGAGAUGAUGCAGUUAGCAGCAUUGAUGGUGAAGAGCUUCAAGAAGUUGGCCUACAAAAAGUUCAACAAAGGCAAAAGUUUUUCAAGGAAAGACAGAAACUCUGACAGAGUUUAUGACAAGAAAAACUUUAAGAAGAAUGAGGGGAAAGAAG